AUUAAAAAAAAAAAUAAAGUAAAAAAAACAGAUGGUGUGUUGCCCCUGCUUAAUCUGUAGCACACAUUUGUGUUGUGUAUGUUUUGCAGUCAGGGCUUUGCCAGGCCAUACGUUUUCAAGUAAAAAAAAAUCAGGGCUUUGCAAAUCAUCCAUUGUAAGUAUUAUGCAGUUGAAUGGGAUGAUACUCCAUAAGAAUGUCAUGCAUACUGAUAGAGGUAAAGGAGCAGCUA
rnacentral:ribozyme from 16 species